CCUAACACAUGCAAGUCGAACGGUAACAGGAAGCAGCUUGCUGCUUCGCUGACGAGUGGCGGACGGGUGAGUAAUGUCUGGGAAGCUGCCUGAUGGAGGGGGAUAACUACUGGAAACGGUAGCUAAUACCGCAUAACGUCGCAAGACCAAAGAGGGGGACCCUCGGGCCUCUUGCCAUCGGAUGUGCCCAGAUGGGAUUAGCUUGUUGGUGGGGUAACGGCUCACCAAGGCGACGAUCCCUAGCUGGUCUGAGAGGAUGACCAGCCACACUGGAACUGAGACACGGUCCAGACUCCUACGGGAGGCAGCAGUGGGGAAUAUUGCACAAUGGGCGCAAGCCUGAUGCAGCCAUGCCGCGUGUAUGAAGAAGGCCUUCGGGUUGUAAAGUAC
rnacentral:rRNA from 1 species